GCUAGUUGGUGAGGUAAAGGCUCACCAAGGCGACGAUCCGUAGCUGGUCUGAGAGGACGACCAGCCACACUGGAACUGAGACACGGUCCAGACUCCUACGGGAGGCAGCAGUGGGGAAUUUUGGACAAUGGGGGCAACCCUGAUCCAGCCAUUCCGCGUGAGUGAAGAAGGCCUUCGGGUUGUAAAGCUCUUUCGGUCAGGAACGAAACGGUGGUCCCUAAUACGGAUUGCUAAUGACGGUACCUGAAGAAGAAGCACCGGCUAACUACGUGCCAGCAGCCGCGGUAAUACGUAGGGUGCGAGCGUUAAUCGGAAUUACUGGGCGUAAAGCGUGCGCAGGCGGUUCUAUAAGACAGAUGUGAAAUCCCCGGGCUUAACCUGGGAACUGCGUUUGUGACUGUAGGACUCGAGUGUGGCAGAGGGGGGUGGAAGUUCCACGUGUAGCAGUGAAAUGCGUAGAGAUGUGGAGGAACACCGAUGGCGAAGGCAGCCCCCUGGGUCCAACACUGACGCUCAUGCACG
rnacentral:rRNA from 1 species